GAUCCUGGCUCAGGAUGAACGCUGGCGGCAGGCUUAAUACAUGCAAGUUGAACGGUAACAUGUUGUAGCAAUACGAUGAUGACGAGUGGCGCACGGGUGCGUAACACGUGUGUAACCUACCUUAUACAGGAACAUAACGUUGAGAAAUCGGCGCUAACAUUCCAUAAUAUUAUUUGUAGGCAUCUAUGAAUAAUUAAAACCCCGGUGGUAUAAGAUGGGCACGCGUUCCAUUAGCUAGUUGGUAAGGUAACGGCUUACCAAGGCAACGAUGGAUAGGGGUUCUGAGAGGAUAAUCCCCCACACUGGAACUGAGACACGGUCCAGACUCCUACGGGAGGCAGCAGUAAGGAAUAUUGGGCAAUGGAGGCAACUCUGACCCAGCCAUGCCGCGUGCAGGAAGACGGCCCUAUGGGUUGUAAACUGCUUUUAAUAGGGAUUAAAGUCGACUACGUGUAGUUGUUUGCAAGUACCUAUAGAAUAAGCAUCGGCUAACUCCGUGCCAGCAGCAGC
rnacentral:rRNA from 1 species